CGAGCGUUCACUGACGUUUUUUCAAAACCGCUAAUCUGACAACCACAUGGACACAGCAUCCCAUGAACUGCAUGAGUCUAUAGAUUGGUGCUUUUUAUCCAGGUCAUCCUCGCUGCACAGCGCUGACACUCGCUAACGGGCAUUGCUCCCAAUGUUUACUUCUCCGGCAUGUCUUCUCCAGGCAGGGAAAGUAAUGCCUCGGUUUAUUGAAGAUAUUUUUUAUAAGGAACAGAUUGGAAAGCCACGAUGUUAGUACGACAUAUAUUUAAAUUGCUGUCCGGCUAAUGCACUAGCUACCAGCAGUUAGGGCAGCUUCCUCCGUGUGGCGGCGAGCUGUUGUCGACAGAUCCUCUCCGGCUCCAUGAUGGCGAUGUUUCGGAGCUUUGUCUCGGCGAGCACCCAGCUCCGCCAGCAGCACCAGCCCAACAGCGGCUCGGGCUCCUUGGCAGCCCCGGCUGAGGGCAUCGAGAGCCAGUUCUCCUGUCCCAUCUGCCUGGAGGUCUACCAUAAACCCGUCAGCAUCGCCAGCUGUGCUCACACGUUCUGUGGGGAGUGUCUGCAGCCAUGUCUUCAGGUGACCUCGCCCCUCUGCCCUCUCUGUCGGGUGCCCUUUGACCCCAAGAAAGUGGAGCGCUCAUCCAGUGUGGAGAAGCAGCUGGCCUCAUUCAAAGCACCUUGCAGGGGCUGUAACAAGAAGGUGGCUCUGGUAAAGAUGAGGUCCCACAUUGCUUCCUGUUCUAAAGUACAAGAACAGAUAGCCAACUGUCCUAAGUUUGUACCUGUGGUGCCCACCUCUCAACCCAUACCAAGCAAUAUUCCAAACCGGUCAACGUUUGUGUGUCCAUUCUGUGGGGCCAGAAACCUGGACCAGCAGGAGCUGGUGAAGCACUGUAUGGACAACCAUCGUAAUGACCCUAAUAAAGUGGUGUGUCCGGUGUGUUCAGCCAUGCCGUGGGGAGACCCUAGCUAUAAGAGCUCUAACUUCCUCCAGCACCUCCUCCACAGACACAAGUUCUCUUAUGACACCUUUGUUGACUACAGCAUUGAUGAAGAAGCUGCACUGCAGGCAGCUCUGGCACUGUCACUGGCUGAAAACUGACACUAAUCACACCACACCAUCCCUCUCACUCCUCUGACUGCUGUUACCCUCUUCCCUCUGCACUAUUGCGGUUCCUCCACGGCUCAGAAGGCCAACAUCAUCCAGCCAACAGACACACCUGACCCAGCCAGGGUCACAGUCUCUACAGAGAUCCACAUCACAGAGAUGUCCAGCUGGCUUCACUUCCCUCUCACGUUGAGGACUUUCUUCCUGGUGUGCAGUACAGCCUGUUUGCCUCGCUGCAGCACGGAAGUAGGAUAUGUCUUCACUUUGAUUUGAUGACUUGAAGACAAAACAUCCUGUGGGCUUGGAAUAGACCCAGUGACUGUAUCAACGUUUAAAAUACCAACCUACAGUUUGCAAACAGUCCAUCCACUCACUGCUUUAGUUCAUCUGACAGCUGCCAUCUGGACCACCGCAGCAUGAAGGGCUACCUCCAUGGAAAAAUGUGAAACAUCCUGAAGCCUGCCACCUCUAAAACCCUCAUCACAGACCACUAGUCACUUGAUAUUAAGUCCUGAUUGCUGGUGCUCACUGAGUCUGAUCUUGGACCGUCCCAACUCCCCACUGGACCAGCAAACUUUCUGUUGCCACUGUCAGCGGAGCAACUCUGCCAUUACAUAGUCUGCCCGAUUAGCAUGAUCGCUAACACUCAACACUGAGCUGAUAAACGGUGCCAACAAACUCAUACCUAUACCAAAUGCAGCUGCCCAGGAUGAUUGUGAUUGGUUUAGAGAAACAAAAACAAACCAGGUCGGUAAUGCUCCAGGGCAGAAUGGUAAUAUGGUGAUUCCAGACCUUUCUCAAGCACUAUGGAGAAAGUUCUGGUUACGUGACACUAGCUUCUGUCUGAUGUCAGAAUUCAUCAGGAUUCAAUUCUGUCUGUAAUUUUCCACCAGACUCCUCCCUAUGUGUCUUGUCUCUGUACAUCCACGAAUUCUAGUUAAAAAAACCCCAGAUCUUUCUGUAUGAUCUCACAUUUUUGCACUGACUUCAAAAGCAGAUGUGCCACCUCUAAAAUCAGCCUCAGGUUCAGCCUGAACACACCUUUACAUAUUGAUGAAUUCUUAUGGAACAGUUACAAUGACUGUGUGUCUUAAACAAUCCAACCCUUCCUCUUCGAAAUUCAAAGUCAUCAGAAAGUUCCAAAAACAGAUAGCUUGUACUUUUAGCAUGUGAACAUUGAAAAGAUUGUUCUCUAAACUCAUGUUUCCUGUGUCAGUAUUCCUCUCAUAUAAUUGCAUAUCUUGCUCAAAAUAUAAAAAUGGAAAUCUUUCACAUAAAUGAAAGCUAUUUUUAUAUUUCAGCCCUCAGCAAACACAGCUAUUUCUUCUGUUUAUGUUUUUUUUAUAUUCAUGUUAUAAUAGCAGUCUUUUAUAAAUGUUUGUUACCUUCGUACCUCUGUAGCAGGAUUCUUAGAUUCUACUUUUGUUACUAUUUGUGUACUCCAUGUUUAUCUGCUUCUUUCUGAGCCUCAGUUUCCCCAGCAAUUGUAAAUUAUCUCCUUUUAAUCCCUGUUUUUGUGUUGUUGCUUCUUAUAUUUUGUGAAACUGUUACUGCUCAUUUCUGAUGAUGUCUUAAGGCAGCCAUACAGAUUACAGCAGCUCAACACAGAGAUAACAGCAGUCUGUUGGACGAAAGAACACUGUGGAGGCUUUGUACAUGGGUCACAAAGACUUUUUUAACCACAUUUGAUGCAAACAUGGAGGUGCAUGAAAACUGUCUGGUUCACAAGAGUUAUAGGAUUGGUUCAGAUUUUGUCAGGAUUAUCUCAAGACAAUAUUCACAAGCCAAAUGUACAAUGAAAGAGUUAACAGAGAGAAGAGAGCCUUGGUGAGUGUUAGUGUAAGAUAUCCUUUAACUUUGCUAAAAUCACAAAUAUCUCAAUAGAGUAGUGCAGUAAUGAGUCCCAGAAAUUGGUUUGCAUUUUGGCAUUUUUCCCUCUUCUCAAAGGGUGUGUUGGAGAUGCUGUUCACUCUGGCACAAACUGGACCCUUGUAAAUUCAGAGCUCUGUUGGAAUGCAUCACUCGGUUAUCAGCGCACUCAUUUUAGCAUAGAGCGUGUUGGGAACAUAAAUUAGACGUUACACGGAGGCACCAAUUAUGAAGGGAACAUAAAUUAGGGCGUCACAUGGAGGCACCAAUUAUGUUGGGAAUGACAGUAAUGGCCAAGGGGACAUCAUUAAUGUUGUAAAUUGGCUAUCAGAAAUAAUUAUUAAUAAUAAUUGGUAAUUAUGUUAAAUAAUGUGACUUAAUUAAUAUUAAAUCACCUCAUGGGGCACCAUUCCCGGAAAGGGAAAAUAAUAGCCAGUUAAAGAUAUCAGUCUCAUAAAAUACCCUAAACUAUUAUUAAUUUUGAUAUUAAAUAAUAACCAUAACAAAAAAAAUGACUGAUAACAGAGAACUACAAGAUGGCCGAAUCAAAGCUGGCUUCAGACCAGGGGAGGUCUUGUCUGACCGUGUGGUCAGGACAAAUACAAAGGAAAAGAGGCAGGAACUGUUCUGCUGAAAGCCUAUUUGCUAGUGAGUAUAUGUGAAUGUGAUUUGUGUUGCAAACGGUCUGGAUUAGUGCAGAGAUUGUUUAGUUGGGUG